GCUACCCCUCAAGAAGCAAGUAUAUCUAAGUCUCAAUUCAAUAUUUAAGAGCAAAAUAAGCUUGUGUCAAUAAAUAAGCUCUGCACUAGUGACACUACACAUGUAACAUCGCUAAUAUGUGAUCAUAGCAAGAAUUAAUCAAAAACAAGCUGCACAUAGUAUCAUCAUAGGUUACUAACUUGGACUAUUACAUGGGAUCAUGC
rnacentral:lncRNA from 1 species